UACGUAGGGGGCAAGCGUUGUCCGGAUUUAUUGGGCGUAAAGCGCUCGCAGGUGGUUCGGAACGUCGUGCGUGAAAGCCCCCGGCUCAACUGGGGAGUGUCGUGCGAAACGGUCGGACUGGAGGCCAGUAGGGGGAUGCGGAAUUCCGGGUGUAGUGGUGGAAUGCGUAGAGAUCCGGAGGAACACCAGCGGCGAAGGCGGCAUCCUGGACUGGUCCUGACACUCAGGAGCGAAAGCGUGGGGAGCGAUCCGGAUUAGAAACCCCUGUAGUCC
rnacentral:rRNA from 1 species